UCCGGAAAAACUCCCUACUCCCCGCCCCUGUCUUCGUCUACCGCGUUCCCAUUGGCUAUCUAGCGGGGUCAGGCACAACGAGGGCAGGAGCUCUGGGCAAGGGGUGUGUGUGGGUGUGGGUGUGGGUGUGUUUGUUUGUGUGUGUGGCUUUUCAGAGGCCACAGUUUUUCUCCGAGUUGAACUACUCACCGACUGACUGCCCCGAGGGGCUGAAGAUGCUGCCCCAGUCGGUGGCGAGGUUCGGCGCAACAGCUCGCUUGUAGCCAGAGUCUGGCACUGGACGCGCGCCGUGACUGUGCAACUGUCUUCACGAGAAUCACGUGUGCCCGCUAGGAUUACCCUUCCUGUGUGUGUGCCCUGACCAGCCCGACACUGCCUCAGCCCGGAAGACUUUCAGGUCAGGCUCUGCUUCUCGACCGGUGUGUGCUGUGCCUGAAUUUGUGCGUCAGGCCGGCUAAAAAGAAGGCAUGAAAUGAAGUGUGUCCCUUGGACAAGAGAAAAGAUGGAACCACCAGUCCAGCCACCACCACAACCCCCAAACCCGAACCUCAGCCAGAGGCAUGGACUAGAGUCCCAGGGUCCUGGCAUACUUGCUCCAUGCUGACAUGUCCCUAACACAGGGCACGGUGUGACUGUCUCUUCUGCAGCCUGGCUGUUGAGGAGCUCAGCUGUGCUGGUAUAUACAGUUUUAUUACCCAAACACUCAGGUAAGUGUCAAAGCCCACUGUCUGUAGACAAGGAAACAAACGGAAAGGUUUAGGUCGCUGGUGCAGGAAAGGGUGGAUCUGGGCAUCACACCUCCGUUUCGCCUGACUCCAAAGCCCGACUUUGCACUCACAGUGAUAUUCCUGGAUUGUGUUUCAGCUGCUGAAAUGCAUAUAUUGUUCCAGUAUUGUAUAGUCAUCAUGGUCCCAACACCUGUCCACCUUGAAAUGGAGGUACUCAGCAACCUUGAAAGGUUCUAAGAUUUUGUGUCUGUCCUCUGAUGAGCUGCCCUGAAGCCAACAGACCUGGAGUCCCUUGGCAUGGAAGGCUUGCCUCAGAACCAACAGCCAAGCAGGACUUCAAUGUCCAGGGCUCCCCCCGUGGAGUGGUACUUUGUCAUGUUAGAGAGCCUUUGCAAGCAACCCCACCACCCAAAUUAGGUCUCUACCUGUCUCACUGGUGACCAGGUAUUACGAAUUGAGAGGCAAGCAGAGGAAGUGCUUUUAGUAGCUGCAUCACAGCCGUAGCACUGACCAGACCCCACUGGUGAUUUGAAGCCCAGUAGCCCAAGGACUGCAGUCCGACUCUAACUAGGUGUCUCUCUGUUCUUCGGCGUGCACGUCUGUACACUGUGGGUGAGCAAAGUGCCUGUGUCAUCAGCCUCCCCAGCCUUGAGAGGUGUGUCCUGACCAAACACACGCACAUACACUUAAGUAGGGGUAAGAGGCCCUGCUCUGUGUCCCUAAGGUGCUGUGAUUUCAAUUCUGCCACCGCUCUUCUCACACAAUGUGCAGUGGUCAUCUGCUUGCAGACUACACCCUGUGUGAUCCCUGUGUCCCCACUGAGUCCAGUGAACUGACACAUGAAUUCGGGUGGUGCUUAGAACAUGUUUCUUCAGCGAAGGAGGGACCUUCACCCAAGGUCCUUCAUCCCAAAGGGCAGCUCGUGUACCGGUUAUGACACAGGAGGAUGGAGUAAACAGGACAUCUCUGUACUCAGAUUCUCUGUGAGGAGGAGGAAGAUUGGAUUUUUUGUACCCUCUCUAAUUCCAGAAACUUAAAGAGGCUAUAAAGGGAUUUUCAAUGUGUGGGUCACUGUUGCCCCGUCGGCCACAGUUCUGGUCUCACAGUGGAACUUGGGUCAAGAUCCUUGGAGCUCCAGGCAACUCAGAGAAUGUUUUCCAAGUCCCGAGCGACUGGUGCACAGAGUAGGUGCCCACAGUGAUCUGUCCAGUAGGUGGAUUGUUGAGUGAAUUAAGGCUGCUAGUUAAAUAUGGGAUGCUCUGGCAAGAGCACAAAUCCCCUUGGGGGACGGGACAUGAGCACACGGGUGAAGGCUGUGUCAAUCCAGGUGACUGCUGUCAGCCUCACAAGAAGGCACUCCUCCUCACUGUCCUUCCAGCUCUUUGUCCAAACCUGCCUCUUCUCUAAGUGGUCCUCUCCAUGUCCCUUCUCUGCCUAACUUACAGCCCGAUACAGGCUGUCAUUCGGCAUCUGUGAUCCUUGGGUGUCCUUUGCAGUCCAGCUAACUGAACAGAAGCUGACUCAGCACAGCAGGAUCUAGUGCCUGUCACCCGUUGUUCUCCCCUGCUUUCUGUUAGGCUCUCACUCCCUUCCCCUACCCCCCAGCUGCUCCAGCCUUCUGGCAGUAUCUGCACUGUUUCUGGAAGCCUCUGCCUCAGACACUUCUUCCCAACUGUUCCCUCUUGACAGGAAAGUCCUGACCCCAGAAAUGUGCUUGUCAGAUUCCUCUCCCUGUUCACAAUGUUUGUUGAAAGGUCACCUCUUCGUGAACCCUGAAUUCACACCCUUGGGGAUACUUUCUAGGUUCUGCUUUUGGGGCUGACAGAUCAUCUGGAGAGGCAUUGCCAGCAAACGUGCGGGCGCCUGGGUCUAAGAGCCAAAGAGUUUGUCUAGAACCAAAGAGAAGAGCCUGGAGAAUGUCCUAAUAUUCUGACUAAAAGGCAGAGGGGCACCCAAGAAAACGGGAGGUCAAAUUAUCACCGAAGGCAGGCCAGCCCCUGAGCAGCUCCUCAAAUGAGUGGAAUUGUGUUCAUGCAUCACUUGUAGCCUGAACCAUGGGCCCUGAAUGCUGAGGGAAGAUCCCUGUUCUCCAGUAGCCAUAGUCUGACCAGAAACUCAGAGAAUAAGGCCCUGCCUGCAAUAGCUGAGUGCCUGUUGUCUUUGGGGCCACUAUGUCCAGACCUGGCCAUGCAGCUUCUGUUGUUCUAAGAUGGGGAUGGCAGUACCUGCCUUCCUUGCUUCCAGGGCUCUUCUGACAAACACAGGACGGAAAGCGCGCAAGCGCGCGCACACACACACACACACACACACACACACACACACACACACAAAGAUCAGAGAACUGGAAAGAGCCUAGGUCCUUGAUGGCGUCAUCAGACCCCAGAAUAUGCCCCGCCUGCACCCACCCUUACUUCUGAUUUCAUUGUGUGAUUGUGAAUUGCCUUUGUGAUUAGACCUGUUUGAGGAGGGGUUUCCUCUUUACUCACAGCACAAAGCAGACUUCUGGAUAUGGGGAGCAUCGUGGGGUUUGGUUUUCUUUUCUGUGGGAGCCAUGUCGUGUCGUGGGUAAGGGCACAAGCUCUGUUCCUAAACAACCUUCCUUCCAACUCAGUUCUGCCACUUGCAGUCCUGUCAUUUUGAGAAAUGUACCUGGCCCUGUGCCUUACUAUCCUCACCUGUGAAAUGGGCUUAUUAUUCUUAAUAGUGACAAUACCAAGCAGAGAGGGUUGCAUUUGUGAAUACAUAAUGAGGUAAUGCAAGUAUGGUUCACAGAAUUGCAUCUGCCACAUUCCCUAUCUUUACACCUACUGAUGCUGCCAUGGGAGAGGUGGCAGGUCAGGCUUGACACCACGUGAGCUAGAGCAAAGAACAUAAAGAUCACGUUACACGUCUGUGUUCAGCCCUAGAAACUCUCCUCCUCUGCCAUACAUUCUCAUCCUUUGCGUCAUGCACGGACGAUCCGUCACCAGAGGGCUGACUCUCCCACCUGGGGACCACAAAUACACACCGUCUUACACUGUGUGCAUCAAUUCAGUACACUCCAGUUAUGUCCUCAGAUAGCCUGCCCUGGUCCUGGUGCCGGGGUGGGGGUGGGGGGUACCCCAGGGCAGGUAACGGAGCACAUGAUGUUCCCUUACACCCACACGGCAUCAGAAGCUGUCUGCAUCCUAGUGCCUGCCUUUCUUUCCAGACUCGCCUCCCUCCGCCCUAAAAUUCGGAUUACACUCACACUGGAUUCCAGGGCAGACCCUGCCACUUCAGUCUCUCUCCUUCAGCCUCAAAUUCCUCCUGGUUAAAGGCAAUAAUCCUGCCUACUCAAGGUUUGUUGGGAGACCUCCAGGAGACAACAAAUGUAAAACACCUAGCUGACACUAGCUGGCACGUGGAAGGUGCUGGAUAAGAAACAGCAUUAUCUGUUUCGCUUCUUUAAUCCACAGCACCUGGAAUGCAAAGGGUGUGAGGUCACCGCAUUUAAAUUCUAGAGCAGCAGAUCACAGUUUAUCAGGAGGUUUGGAGCCAGGCCCGGAGGGCACCAGGGAACACCAUCGAGUCACCGUUUGCAGCCCCGCAGCACGAGCAGCCUUCGGAUCAUCCGGGCAGAGCAAGUGGAAGAGAGUCUUCCUGCCCACAGAGAGCUGGAAGCACAGCCCACCGCCCACGAUCCAGUGCUGUGUAACCCAGGAAGUGCCCGUGCAGUCCCUCUGAACUACAGAGAGAGUCUGCUUGCGCUCAGUCUCCGUAAUUAGGUAAUGUCCAGAGCUGUGUUGCUGCAAACAUCUGUGAGUCUUCUGCAGACAGAAGUGGCUUCAGAGCAGGUAUCAGACAGUAUUCUACAUAUCUCCAUAUAUCAGCUUAUGGAAUCCACUCCCAGAACCCAUCAUUGAGCAAGACUUCGAUCUCACUUUGUGUGUGAAAAGCAGAGUACAGAGAGGUCAGGUGAGUUGCUCAGUGUCGCAGAGGCACUGAAGGAGAGGGUGACAGGCAAACCUCGGCGGACUGAAUUCAGAACAUGACUCCUAACCAGCUCACCAACGUUAACCUCUAUAGAGGCCAGGGGUGAAGUGCAGAGAACCAAUGACUUUGCUGGACGUUUCCCAGCUGGAAGCCUCAGGUCUGAUAAGAUACCUCCUUGAAUCCUCCCCAUAAUGCACUAGGGCAGGGGCACUCCUACCCACCUGGCAGAGUUCAAGGAAGUCAUAAAGAGAUGUCUUUACCGCAGCAGCCACACCAACCACAGACAGAUGUUUAGCCACUCGUUAAGGUUUCAUCGUCUCACCCUUGCCUCCCCCACUCCACGCAAGGCUGGCUGCUGGGGUGGGGAAGUUUGGAGUAAUCACAAGACAAUCCUGGCCCUCGGGAUUGAGCCUUUAAUCAGGGAGACCUGUAACGCCCAUACAUGUGGCAAAGAGCCGUCAUGGAGCCCCUCUGUGGCUCUGUGGCCAGGAGACGAGAGGGGUGAGAAGGAACGGGGUGGGGCAGUGUGGAUGUGGGGCUUGCUGAAGGUGCUCCUGACCACACUUACUCAUGGCCUGCACUGGGGCACAUGCGGAAUGGGUGGGCAGGUGUGACUGACAGACCCAGUGGUACCAUCCCACCCCUGCCUCAAAGUCAUUGUCCCCUUGCCCACAUAUCAAGUGUAUGUGGGUAUCUGGGGGUCCCAUCUGAGUCAGCACACGGUCCCAAGUUAUAGACUAGGAGAUAGAAUCCACUAAUGUCCAGAUAUGUUCAGCAUGUCAAAUUAUGCAUUUUUUUAAAUGUUUAUUUUUGAGAGAGAGAGAGAGAGAGAGAGAGAGAGAAUACAAAGUGGGGGGGGGGAGGGGCAGAGAGAGAGGGAGACACAGAAUCUGAAGCAUCAGCAUGUCAAAUUCUAGGCAAGAGGCAGAGGGAGAACCACCAGGAGGCAAGAAAUACAGGGAGAGCAUGGGGGUAGAGUGGAAUGCUCAAAUCAGAAAUCUCAAUGUACCUAUCACAAGUAAAGAAAUUGAAUUUGUUAUUUAACAACCUUCCCACUGGGGCACCUGGGUGGCUCAGUCAGUUGAGUGUCUGACUCAUGGGAUCGAGCCCUACUGUCAGUGCAGAGCCUGCUUGGGAUUCUCUCUUUCCCUCUCUCUGACCCUGCUCCACAUUCUCUCUCUGUCUCUGUCUCUGUCUCUGUCUCUCUCUCUCUCUCAAAAUGAAUAAAUUUUAAAAAUUGAUUUAAAAACCUUCCCACAGAGAAAAGCCCUGGGCCUGCUGGCCUCAUUGCUAAGUUCUGUUAAACUAUAGGAAGAGAUAAUAUCCAUCCCUCAUAGGCUGUUCCAGAUAGAGAGGAGGAAGGAACAUUUCCUAACUCAUCCAUUAGGACAAUAUUACCCUGCACCAAAGCCACACAUGACAACACAAGAAACUAUACACCAAUAUCUAUCAUUAACAUCCAUACAUAAAUCCUCAACAGAAUAGCAUAUCAAAUCCAACAACAUUUGCAAGGGGAAAACCAACUAACCAAGUGAGAUUUAUCCCAGGGUUGCAGUAUCGCUUUAACAUUCAAAAUACAAUUCGGGUCAACCAGCAUAGUAAUAUAUUGAGGACAGAAACCAUGUGAUCAUCUUGAUAGACAAAGACAUUUGACAAAAUUCGAGGCCCAUUCGUGAUAAAAAUGCUCGUCCAACUAGGGACAGAAGGGGACGUCCUCAUUCUGAUAGGGCUAUCUACAAGAAAAAUAUGUCUCCUGUCACAUAUUUAUUAGUGAAUGAAUGCUUUCCCGCUGAGAUCCAGACCAAGGCAAGGAUGGCGGUUCCCACCAUUUCUGCCCGACAUGGACUGAAAGUUUCAGCCAGCGCAAUCAUGCAAGGCAAAGAAACGGAAACAUGGAGAAACUGGACACGAAAACUAUGUCCAAGCAAAGACUUGUACUCAGAUGUUCACAGCAGCAUUAUUCAUAAUCGCCAGAGAGCAAAACAGUGUAAAAAAGUCUGUCAGCUGGUCAAUAGAUAAUUGAAAUGUGGCAACCCAUGCAGUAAGAUGCCACUGAUCUAUGAAAAGGGAUGAACUUCUGAUUUCUGCUACAACAUGGAUGAGCCCCCAGAGUGUUCAGCUACAUGAAAGACACAGACACAAGAGUCCACUUAAAGCAGGAGUCAGUUUCUAGGAAAUGCCCAGAAAGUGCAAACCUACAGAGAUAGAAAUUACAUUAGACUCUGCCUCAGCCUGGAGGUGGGAAGUGAGCGCUGAUGGGUACACAGGGUCUUUCUGGAGAGAAGGAAAUGUUCUAAAACUGAACUGUGGCAAUGGCUGCACGACUCUGUACAUUUACUACAAGUCACUGCAUUGGACUGUCUAACUGGGUGACACUGGUGUGUAAUUAGAGCCCAAUAAAGCCCUUUGGAAAAUGUAAUGCAAAUGUCUAAGUAAGUCAUGGUGGAAAAAGUAUGCCAUUGAUUUUAUAACACUAAGGAACUGUCCCGUCUCCCUUUCCAUGUUCUGGGUCCUGCCUGCACGACCCAUCAUCACCUGCCUCCUCCCUGUGGGUGAGGUGCUCCCACCAGAAUGAGUCACUGUGCACAUCACAAAGGAAUGCUGCUGAGUGCACACGUCUGUGCGUGUGUGUGUGUGUGUCUGUGUCUGUGUGUGUGUGUGCGCUCAUGCGCAGGCACCCGCUGGGUGAACUUAAUGGUUGGCUCCGAAAUCCGUGGCUGGGGUCAGGCUCCUAGCGUCCAUCUUGCAUCUGAAAACCCACUUAGGAGUUUUCCUUUCUUCAGGAAUCCCAUGGACCUGGCUGCAGUUUCCCUGGUAACCAGCCUCAUCCUUAGCUUUAACUUCUGGCCACAGGAAGAUGUGUAGAGUGGGGAGGGGUGUUGUCCGCCCCCCCACUGGGCCCCCUGCCGCACUCAGCAGCCCAGUGUGGAGACACAGCAGAGAGGUAACCAAGACAAUGGAAAUCCCACUGCCUCGAGGCCCUUCCCUCUCCCCUCUGCCUGCCUGAGUGUCAUGUAAAGAAGGGGACGCAGAUGCAUAAACACACUCCUCUGUCCUGUAAUUGUUCUAAGUGUGGCUGUAAAAUAAAUAUGUCACAAACAGCUCCUGACUAAUAAAUACAGAAAGCAAACUGAUGGCUGCUGCAGGGAAGGGGGUGGGUGGAUGAGACAAAUGGGUGAAGGGGAGUGGGAGAUACAGGCCUUCAGAGAAGGAGGAAUGAAUAAGUCAUUGCAUCAGAGGCAUAACACAGGGAAUGUCGUCAGUUGCUGUCAUAGCAUUGUAUGGUGACAGAUAGUGGCUACACUUGUGGUGAGCAGAGCAUAACACUAGACAUGUUAAGUCCCUGUGAUAUACACCUGUGACUAAUGUAACAUUGUGUGUCAACUUUACUCAUGUUAAAAAAAAAAUAGCUCUUGAAAGAAGACACAUAAGGAAUUUUUUUUUUUUUAAUUUCAGUGGUAACACACAUGGCUCUAAAGUUCAAGAUUCUAUUUAAACCAGGACAGGUGAAGCUCAGAGAUGCUUCUCAACAUCAUCUGUGCAUCAGAUCUUUCCUGGAGCAGUUUAGAAUGACUCAACACCUAAAAAACAGACAAUCCAGUUAAAUAUGGGCAGAAGUCAUGAACACACAUUUCUGCAAAGAAGACAUACUGACGGUUAAUGGACAUAUGAAUAGAUAAUAGAUACCGAUCAUCAUAGGGAAAUGCAAAUCAAAACCACAAUGAGCUAUCACCUCACACCUGUCAGAAUGGCUAAAUUCAAACACACAAGAGACAACAGGUGUCAGCGAGUGUCUGGAGAAAGGACCCCUCCUGCACUGUUGCUGGGAAUGCAAACUGGUGCGUCUACUGUGGAAAAGUAUGGAGGUUCCUGAAAAAGUUAAAAAUAGAACUACCCUAAGAUCCAGCUAUCGCCUACUGGGCAUUUAUCCCCCGAAAUACAAAAGCAUUGAGGCGCCUGGGUGGCUCAGUCGGUUAGGUGUCCAACUUCGGUUCAGGUCAUGAUCUCGCAGUUUGUGAGUUCGAGCCCAGUGUGGGGCUCUGUGCUGACAGCUCAGAACCUGGAGCCUGCUUCGGAUUCUGUCUCCCUCUCUGCCCCUCCCCUGUUCGUGCUCUCUCUCUUUCCCUCCCACUUCCCUCCCUCUCUCUCAAAAAUAAACAUUUAAAAAAUUGUUAGCAGCACCUGGGUGGCUCAGUCGGUUAACUGUCCAACUCUUGGUUUGGGCUCAGGUCAUGAACUUGCAGUUUGUUAGUUCAAGCCCCACAUCAGGCUUUGUGCUGACAGUGUGGAGCCUGCUUGGGAUUCUCUCUCUGCCCCUAAACCGCUUGCUGUCUCUCAAAAUAAAUAAAUACGCUUAAAAUAAAAAAAAAAUUUUAAUGCAAAACACUACUUCAAAUGGGAUGCAUUAACUCCUAUGUUUUAGCAGCAUCAUUUGUUAUAACCAAAUUACAGAGGCAACCCAAAUGUCCAUCGAAGGAUGAAUGGAUAAACAAGAUGUAUAUAUAUACAAUGGAAUAUUAUUCAGCUAUAAAGAGAAUGAACUCUUUCCAUUUGCAACGACAUGCAAGGAGCUGGAGAGUAUUAGAAAUAAGUCAGUCAGAAAAAGACAAAUAGCAUAUGAUUUCACUCAUAAGCAGAAUUUAACAAACAACCACAAAGAAUGAGCAAAGGAAAAAAGAGACAAACCAGGAAACAUACUCUUAACUAUAGAAAACAAAGGGAUGAAGGGGAUCCUGAGUGGCUCAGUCGGUUAAGCAUCGGACUUCGUCUCAGGUCAUGAUCUCAAGGUUCAGGAGUUCAAGCCCCACGUGGUGCUGUGUGCUGACAGCAUGGAGCCUGCUUCAAGAUCCUCUCUCCCUCUCUGUCUCUCAAAAAUAAAAAUUAAAAAAAAAAUUUAAACAAGAAAACAAAGGGAUGGUUACCAGAGGGGGCAUGAAGUGGUGGGGGGGUGGGGUGCGGGAUGGGUAUAAUAGGGAAUGGGGAUUAAGGAGUGCACUUGUCCUGAUGAGCACUGGGUGUUGUAUGGAAGUGUUGAAUCACUGUAUUGUACACCUGAAAUUAAUAUUGUAUGUUAACUAUACUGGAUUUAAAAUAAACUUUGUAAUAAAAGAAAAAAAAAAAAAAAAGA